GGGGAAUAUUGCACAAUGGGCGAAAGCCUGAUGCAGCAACGCCGCGUGAGUGAAGAAGGUUUUCGGAUUGUAAAGCUCUGUCAUCUGGGACGAUAAUGACGGUACCAGAUGAGGAAGCCACGGCUAACUACGUGCCAGCAGCCGCGGUAAUACGUAGGUGGCAAGCGUUGUCCGGAUUUACUGGGCGUAAAGGAUGUGUAGGCGGAUAUUUAAGUGAGAUGUGGAAGACCCGGGCUUAACUUGGGCAGUGCAUUUCAAACUGGAUGUCUGGAGUGCAGGAGAGGAGAACGGAAUUCCUAGUGUAGCGGUGAAAUGCGUAGAGAUUAGGAAGAACACCAGUGGCGAAGGCGGUUCUCUGGACUGUAACUGACGCUGAGGCACGAAAGCGUGGGUAGCAAAC
rnacentral:rRNA from 1 species